UGAGUAACGCGUAUCCAACCUCCCGUUAGUAGGGCAUAGACCCGGCGAAAGUCGACUAACACCCUAUGUUAUCCGAAGAGGACAUCUGAAUUGGAUUAAGGUUUACCGCUAAGGGAUGGGGAUGCGUCUGAUUAGGUAGUAGGCGGGGUAACGGCCCACCUAGCCGACGAUCAGUAGGGGUUCUGAGAGGAAGGUCCCCCACAUUGGAACUGAGACACGGUCCAAACUCCUACGGGAGGCAGCAGUGAGGAAUAUUGGUCAAUGGGCGAGAGCCUGAACCAGCCAAAAGGUAGCGUGCAGGAUGACGGCCCUAUGGGUUGUAAACUGCUUUUAUACGGGGAUAAAGUGAGGGACGUGUCCCUUUUUGUAGGUACCGUAUGAAUAAGGACCGGCUAAUUCCGUGCCAGCCGCUGC
rnacentral:rRNA from 1 species